GAUCAUGGCUCAGGAUGAACGCUAGCUACAGGCUUAACACAUGCAAGUCGAGGGGCAGCGGGAUUGAAGCUUGCUUCAAUUGCCGGCGACCGGCGCACGGGUGAGUAACGCGUAUCCAACCUUCCGUACACUCAGGGAUAGCCUUCGAAGAAAGAAUUAAUACUCGAUGGUAGUGAUGAGAUUGCAUGAUAGCAUCAUUAAAGUAAUUAUCGUGUACGAUGGGAGUG
rnacentral:rRNA from 1 species